rnacentral:rRNA from 1 species
GACGAACGCUGGCGGCGUGCUUAACACAUGCAAGUCGAACGGUGAAGGGGCCUGCUUUUGUGGGCCCUGGAUGAGUGGCGAACGGGUGAGUAACACGUGAGCAACCUGCCCCCUUCUUCUGGAUAACCGCAUGAAAGUGUGGCUAAUACGGGAUAUUCUGGGUCUGUCGCAUGAUGGGUCUGGGAAAGAUUGCGCCUUUGGGUGUUUUUGGUGGGGGAUGGGCUCGCGGCCUAUCAGCUUGUUGGUGGGGUGAUGGCCUACCAAGGCGGUGACGGGUAGCCGGCCGGAGGGGGUGGACGGUCACACGGGGACUGAGACACGGCCCAGACUGCUACGGGAGGCAGCAGUGGGGAAUAUUGCACAAUGGGCGCAAGCCUGAUGCAGCGACGCCGCGUGAGGGAUGGAGGCCUUCGGGUUGUAAACCUCUUUCGCCAGUGAAGCAGGCCUGCUCCUUGUGGGUGGGUUGACGGUAGCUGGAUAAGAAGCGCCGGCUAACUACGUG